GGGUUCGAUUCCNGAGAGGGAGCCUGAGAAACGGCUACCACAUCNAAGGAAGGCAGCAGGCGCGCAAAUUACCCAAUCCCAAUACGGGGAGGUAGUGACAAUAAAUAACAAUAUGGGACUCUUACGGGUCUCGUAAUUGGAAUGAGUACAAUUUAAAUCUCUUAACGAGGAACAAUUGGAGGGCAAGUCUGGUGCCAGCAGCCGCGGUAAUUCCAGCUCCAAUAGCGUAUAUUAAAGUUGUUGCAGUUAAAAAGCUCGUAGUUGAAUUUCGGAGUUUGUCGGUUGGUCGGGCUUCACUGUCCGCACUGGCCUGAUGGAUUCCUACCUUCUGAAUAACCAGCAUGCUAUUAAGUUAGUGCGUUGGGGAAGCAGAGCUAUUACCUUGAAAAAAUUAGAGUGCUUAAAGCAGGCUUUUGCUUGAAUAGAUUAGCAUGGAAUAAUAAAAUAGGACGGCAUGGUUCUAUUUUGUUGGUUUCUAGGAUCACCGUAAUGAUUAAUAGGGAUAGUUGGGGGCAUUAGUAUUCAAUUGUCAGAGGUGAAAUUCUUGGAUUUAUUGAAGACUAACUUCUGCGAAAGCAUUUGCCAAGGAUGUUUUCAUUAAUCAAGAACGAAAGUUAGGGGAUCGAAGACGAUCAGAUACCGUCGUAGUCUUAACCAUAAACUAUGCCGACUAGGGAUCGGACGAUGUUAAUUUUUUAAUGACUCGUUCGGCGCCUUACGGGA
rnacentral:rRNA from 1 species